rnacentral:tRNA from 1 species
GUUUUUUAGUCAAAAAUGAUUUUAAGUUGCAAAUUUAAAGGUGAUAUUUUAUUAUUAAGAACUUC